rnacentral:rRNA from 1 species
GACGAACGCUGGCGGCGUGCCUAAUACAUGCAAGUAGAACGCUGAAGAGAGGAGCUUGCUCUUCUUGGAUGAGUUGCGAACGGGUGAGUAACGCGUAGGUAACCUGCCUUGUAGCGGGGGAUAACUAUUGGAAACGAUAGCUAAUACCGCAUAACAAUGGAUGACACAUGUCAUUUAUUUGAAAGGGGCAAUUGCUCCACUACAAGAUGGACCUGCGUUGUAUUAGCUAGUAGGUGAGGUAAUGGCUCACCUAGGCGACGAUACAUAGCCGACCUGAGAGGGUGAUCGGCCACACUGGGACUGAGACACGGCCCAGACUCCUACGGGAGGCAGCAGUAGGGAAUUUUCGGCAAUGGGGGCAACCCUGACCGAGCAACGCCGCGUGAGUGAAGAAGGUUUUCGGAUCGUAAAGCUCUGUUGUAAGUCAAGAACGGGUGUGAGAGUGGAAAGUUCACACUGUGACGGUAGCUGACCAGAAAGGGACGGCUAACUACGUG